rnacentral:piRNA from 1 species
GAAGGCAUCUUUGAGGUCCAAAACUGUAU